rnacentral:rRNA from 1 species
AAGGAAUAUUGGUCAAUGGACGCAAGUCUGAACCAGCCAUGCCGCGUGAAGGAUGAAGGUCCUCUGGAUUGUAAACUUCUUUUAUCUGGGACGAAAACGGGAUUUUUAUCUCAAUUGACGGUACCAGAGGAAUAAGCACCGGCUAACUCCGUGCCAGCAGCCGCGGUAAUACGGAGGGUGCGAGCGUUAUCCGGAUUUACUGGGUUUAACGGGUGCGUAGGUGGGCUUAUAAGUCAGUGGUGAAAUCUCCGAGCUUAACUUGGAAACUGCCGUUGAUACUAUAGGUCUUGAAUUAUCUGGAGGUAAGCGGAAUAUGUCAUGUAGCGGUGAAAUGCUUAGAUAUGACAUAGAACACCAAUUGCGAAGGCAGCUUACUACAUAUAAAUUGACGCUGAGGCACGAAAGCGUGGGGAUCAAACA